GUGCUCGCUUCGGCAGCAUAUAUACUAAAAUUGGAACGAUACAGAGAAGAUUAGCAUGGCCCCUGCGCAAGGAUGACACACAAAUCUACCCCCAGGCUGAUCCACGUAUCU